GAUGAACGCUGGCGGCGUGCCUAAUACAUGCAAGUCGAGCGAACGGGCGAGAAGCUUGCUUCUCUGAUGUUAGCGGCGGACGGGUGAGUAACACGUGGAUAACCUACCUAUAAGACUGGGAUAACUUCGGGAAACCGGAGCUAAUACCGGAUGAUAUUUUGAACCGCAUGGUUCAAAAGUGAAAGACGGUCUUGCUGUCAUUUAUAGAUGGAUCCGCGCUGCAUUAGCUAGUUGGUAAGGUAACGGCUUACCAAGGCAACGAUGCAUAGCCGACCUGAGAGGGUGAUCGGCCACACUGGAACUGAGACACGGUCCAGACUCCUACGGGAGGCAGCAGUAGGGAAUCUUCCGCAAUGGGCGAAAGCCUGACGGAGCAACGCCGCGUGAGUGAUGAAGGUCUUCGGAUCGUAAAACUCUGUUAUUAGGGAAGAACAUAUGUGUAAGUAACUGUGCACAUCUUGACGGUACCUAAUCAGAAAGCCACGGCUAACUACGUG
rnacentral:rRNA from 1 species